rnacentral:rRNA from 1 species
UACGUAGGGGGCGAGCGUUGUCCGGAAUUACUGGGCGUAAAGGGUUCGCAGGCGGUUUGGUAAGUCUGAUGUAAAAGGCAAGAGCUUAACUCUUGUAAGCAUUGGAAACUGUCAAACUUGAGUAAAGGAGAGGUAAGUGGAAUUCCUAGUGUAGCGGUGGAAUGCGUAGAUAUUAGGAGGAAUACCAGUGGCGAAGGCGACUUACUGGACUUUAACUGACGCUGAGGAACGAAAGCGUGGGGAGCAAACAGG